AAAAUGGUAAGAUUCUGGUAUUGUGUAUGAAAGUGACAGAGGUAAGUUGUCAUCAAAGAUAAUCAAACAACGCUAUUCUUUUUUUUUUAAAUAAGCUUGCAUUUCAAAAAGGUAAUGUAAUUCAGUGUAUCAAAGGUCAAACAGUCGUGCCGAACAACUAAGGUGAGUCCUAUUUUGACAGCAAAAUCAUAUUUCCACCUGCGCAAUUUCAGAAUUGAUGAAACAGGUGAGAAAGGAGACUUAAUAUUUGUUAACAUCCACCUUAUUUCUGCAAUAUCUUAUCAUGUGUCAAUAUUAACUUAGUGUGCAUCAAAUGCUAAAUCUACAAUCAACAUCAGUAGGUUUUGUAUAUAUGAAAAACUUAUAAAUGUC
rnacentral:lncRNA from 1 species